rnacentral:sRNA from 1 species
AACUUCCUUAACGGAUGCAGCAGACUGAAUGAAUAAUUCAGACAUCCCGCAACCAUGAAAGUGGUCCAGGCCAAGUCCGGUAAUGGCGCUUCUGAAUACCAGGUUAUGUACCUGGCGAAACCCACCUUAAGGUGGGUUUU